UGAUAGAGGUUGCGUGAUUUAAGAGUAGUUUUUCGGAUGCGGCAGAGGCAGAGGAUGGAAAAUGAAAGGAAAGAACGCCGAAGGAGUGUAUUUGCUGCAGAUAUAUUCCUGGGCAUAAGGUAAAGAAUCUUAUGACUGUCAUCUUAAGAAAGAUGGGGCGCUAUCGGA
rnacentral:ncRNA from 1 species